GUAGGGAAUAUUGGGCAAUGGAUGCAAGUCUGACCCAGCCAUCCCGCGUGCCGGAAGAAGGCCCUCAGGGUUGUAAACGGCUUUUGACGGUGAAGAAUCGACAGGAUGCGUCCUGUUUUGACGGUAGCCGUUGAAUAAGCACCGGCUAACUCCGUGCCAGCAGCCGCGGUAAUACGGAGGGUGCGAGCGUUGUCCGGAUUUAUUGGGUUUAACGGGUGCGUAGGCUGGAAGGUCAGUCAGCGGUGAAAAGCUGUCGCUUAACGAUAGUCUUGCCGCAGAUACUUCCUUUCUUGGAUGAGGAGGAGGCCACUGGAACGGAUGGUGUAGCGGUGAAAUGCAUAGAUAUCAUCCAGAACACCGAUUGCGAAGGCAGGUGGCUGUACCUUAAUCGACGCUGAUGCACGAAAGCAUGGGGAGCAAACAGGAUUAGAAACCCCAGUAGUCC
rnacentral:rRNA from 1 species